rnacentral:rRNA from 1 species
AGUGAACGCUGGCGGUAGGCCUAACACAUGCAAGUCGAACGGCCACACAGUAAGAGCUUGCUCUUACGGGUGGCGAGUGGCGGACGGGUGAGGAAUACAUCGGAAUCUACUUUUUCGUGGGGGAUAACGUAGGGAAACUUACGCUAAUACCGCAUACGACCUACGGGUGAAAGCAGUGGAUCUUCGCACCUUGCGCGACUGAAUUAGCCGAUGUCGGAUUAGCUAGUUGGCUGGGUAAAGGCCCACCAAGGCGACGAUCCGUAGCUGGUCUGAGAGGAUGAUCAGCCACACUGGAACUGAGACACGGUCCAGACUCCUACGGGAGGCAGCAGUGGGGAAUAUUGGACAAUGGGCGCAAGCCUGAUCCAGCCAUACCGCGUGGGUGAAGAAGGCCUUCGGGUUGUAAAGCCCUUUUGUUGGGAAAGAAAAGCAGCAGGUGAAUACCCCGCUGUUCUGACGGUACCCAAAGAAUAAGCACCGGCUAACUUCGUG